AUUGAACGCUGGCGGCAUGCCUUACACAUGCAAGUCGAACGGCAGCACGGGUGCUUGCACCUGGUGGCGAGUGGCGAACGGGUGAGUAAUACAUCGGAACAUGUCCUGUAGUGGGGGAUAGCCCGGCGAAAGCCGGAUUAAUACCGCAUACGAUCUACGGAUGAAAGCGGGGGACCUUCGGGCCUCGCGCUAUAGGGUUGGCCGAUGGCUGAUUAGCUAGUUGGUGGGGUAAAGGCCUACCAAGGCGACGAUCAGUAGCUGGUCUGAGAGGACGACCAGCCACACUGGGACUGAGACACGGCCCAGACUCCUACGGGAGGCAGCAGUGGGGAAUUUUGGACAAUGGGCGAAAGCCUGAUCCAGCAAUGCCACGUGUGUGAAGAAGGCCUUCGGGUUGUAAAGCACUUUUGUCCGGAAAGAAAUCCUUGGCCCUAAUACGGUCGGGGGAUGACGGUACCGGAAGAAUAAGCACCGGCUAACUACGUG
rnacentral:rRNA from 1 species